rnacentral:misc_RNA from 1 species
GAAUCGCGAUAGGAAUUGCGAAUUGCAGAAUUCAGUGAAUCAUCGUAACUUUGAACGCAAACUGCGCUUGGGGGUUGACCCCGAGCAUGCCUCUCUGAGUGUCGGUCAAACCAUCCUGUGGGUUUUCCCCAGGGUUAUGAGAGUUCAAUGAUCUCUUCAAGUAUGAGUAGCGCCCGCAAGGGUGUGUGGUGAGCGACUGAGGCUUUGUCACAAGCGAAUGGAGAUGAAAGUUUUCAUGAGCGGCAGAGAUUCAGAACCGAGUCACACUUGCUCUACAGUAUGGACAAUCUUUUUGGACAUACAGCUGUUCUGACCAUCGACCUCAGAUGAGGUAGGAUUACCCGCUGAACUUAA